rnacentral:rRNA from 1 species
AGCGAACGCUGGCGGCAGGCCUAACACAUGCAAGUCGAACGAACCCUUCGGGGUUAGUGGCGGACGGGUGAGUAACACGUGGGAACGUGCCUUUAGGUUCGGAAUAACUCAGGGAAACUUGUGCUAAUACCGAAUGUGCCCUUCGGGGGAAAGAUUUAUCGCCUUUAGAGCGGCCCGCGUCUGAUUAGCUAGUUGGUGAGGUAAUGGCUCACCAAGGCUACGAUCAGUAGCUGGGCUGAGAGGAUGACCAGCACACAUUGGGACUGAGACACGGCCCAAACUCCUACGGGAGGCAGCAGUGGGGAAUCUUGCGCAAUGGGCGAAAGCCUGACGCAGCCAUGCCGCGUGGAUGAUGAAGGUCUUAGGAUUGUAAAAUCCUUUCACCGGUGAAGAUAAUGACUGUAGCCGGAGAAGAAGCCCCGGCUAACUUCGUGCCAGCAGCCGCCGUAACAC